rnacentral:rRNA from 1 species
UUCCUACGGGAGGCAGCAGUGGGGAGUAUUGCGCAAUGGGGGAAACCCUGACGCAGCCAUGCCGCGUGGGUGACGAAGGCCUUCGGGUUGUAAAGCCCUGUCCAGGGGGACGAACCGCGCCGGAGAUAAUAUCUCUUGCGUCUGACGGUACCCCUGAAGAAAGCACCGGCUAACUCCGUGCCAGCAGCCGCGGCAAUACGGAGGGUGCUAGCGUUGUUCGGAAUCACUGGGCGUAAAGCGCGUGUAGGCGGUGUCGCAAGUCGGGUGUGAAAGCCCUGGGCUCAACCCAGGAACUGCGCUCGAAACUGCGAUGCUGGAGUACGGGAGAGGGACGUGGAAUUCCUGGUGUAGAGGUGAAAUUCGUAGAGAUCAGGAGGAACACCCGUGGCGAAGGCGACGUCCUGGACCGAUACUGACGCUGAGACGCGAAAGCGUGGGGAGCAAACAGGAUUAGAUACCCUGGUAGUCCACGCCGUAAACGAUGGGUACUAGAUGCUGCGGGUAUUGACCCCUGCGGUGUCGUAGCUAACGUGUUAAGUACCCCGCCUGGGGAGUACGGCCGCAAGGCUAAAACUCAAAGGAAUUGACGGAA